GACGAACGCUGGCGGCGUGCUUAACACAUGCAAGUCGAACGGAAAGGCCCUGCUUGCAGGGUACUCGAGUGGCGAACGGGUGAGUAACACGUGGGUGAUCUGCCCUGCACUUCGGGAUAAGCCUGGGAAACUGGGUCUAAUACCGGAUAGGAGCCAUUUUUAGUGUGAUGGUUGGAAAGUUUUUUCGGUGUAGGAUGAGCUCGCGGCCUAUCAGCUUGUUGGUGGGGUAAUGGCCUACCAAGGCGGCGACGGGUAGCCGGCCUGAGAGGGUGGACGGCCACAUUGGGACUGAGAUACGGCCCAGACUCCUACGGGAGGAAGCAGUGGGGAAUAUUGAACAAUGGGCGCAAGCCUGAUGCAGAGACGCCGCGUGGGGGAUGACGGCCUUCGGGUUGUAAACGCCUUUCGCUAGGGACGAAGCUUUUUGUGACGGUACCUAGAUAAGAAGCACCGGCUAACUACGUG
rnacentral:rRNA from 1 species